rnacentral:rRNA from 1 species
GACGAACGCUGGCGGCGUGCUUAACACAUGCAAGUCGAACGAAGAGCGAUGGAAGCUUGCUUCUAUCAAUCUUAGUGGCGAACGGGUGAGUAACGCGUAAUCAACCUGCCCUUCAGAGGGGGACAACAGUUGGAAACGACUGCUAAUACCGCAUACGAUCUAAUCUCGGCAUCGAGGAUAGAUGAAAGGUGGCCUCUACAUGUAAGCUAUCACUGAAGGAGGGGAUUGCGUCUGAUUAGCUAGUUGGGGGGGUAACGGCCCACCAAGGCGAUGAUCAGUAGCCGGUCUGAGAGGAUGAACGGCCACAUUGGGACUGAGACACGGCUCAGACUCCUACGGGAGGCAGCAGUGGGGAAUCUUCCGCAAUGGACGAAAGUCUGACGGAGCAACGCCGCGUGAGUGAUGACGGCCUUCGGGUUGUAAAGCUCUGUUAAUCGGGACGAAAGGCCUUCUUGCGAAUAGUGAGAAGGAUUGACGGUACCGGAAUAGAAAGCCACGGCUAACUACGUG